rnacentral:rRNA from 1 species
GGGACAACCCGCCGAAAGGCGGGCUAAACCCGCGUACAUGCCACCGGGGCAUCCCGGAGGCAGGAAAGGCUUCGGCCGGACAGGGAUGGGCAUGCGGCGCAUUAGGCAGUAGGCGGGGUAACGGCCCACCUAACCGACGAUGCGUAGGGGUUCUGAGAGGAAGGUCCCCCACACUGGUACUGAGACACGGACCAGACUCCUACGGGAGGCAGCAGUGAGGAAUAUUGGUCAAUGGUCGGGAGACUGAACCAGCCAGGCCGCGUGAGGGAGGAAGGUACAGAGUAUCGUAAACCUCUUUUGUCAGGGAACAAAGACUGGGACGCGUCCCCGGAUGAGUGUACCUGAAGAAAAAGCAUCGGCUAACUCCGUGCCAGCAGCCGCGGUAAUACGGAGGAUGCGAGCGUUAUCCGGAUUUAUUGGGUUUAAAGGGUGCGCAGGCGGUCUGUUAAGUCAGCGGUCAAAGCCCGGGGCUCAACCCCGGCCCGCCGUUGAAACUGGCAGUCUCGAGUUGGAGAGAAGUAUGCAGAAUGCGCGGUGUAGCGGUGAAAUGCAUAGAUAUCGCGCAGAACUCCGAUUGCGAAGGCAGCAUGCCGGCUCCACACUGACGCUGAGGCACGAAAGCGUGGGUAUCGAACAGGAUUAGAUACCCUGGUAGUCCACGCAGUAAACGAUGAAUGCUGGCUGUCCG